ACAGGACAGCCUCCCCCAGUCUUCCUUCCACGAGACCCAGGAGAAAAUGUAGCAUGGUGGGUGGGUCCCAGCAUGACCUGGGGUGUGCAGGAGGCACUGCUGGACAGAAUGGGGAGGAAAUGCGCUUGUCAGCCCCUCCUUUUGGGUAGGCGGCUGGGGAGAUUUAAGAGAAUCAGUAUUUCAAGCAUCCAAAAUGUGUAGGAGAAUAUGGACCCAAGAACGGAGCAGAGAGACAAAUAGAGGAACGGAAAGUUUUGCCUACAACCAUGAUGUUCUCAAUGUUAGCUGACUGUGUUCUAAAAUCCACUCCAAUUCCCAUUUUGGGAGUUGCUAUGUGAUGAAGGUCUGCCCCUGUGGUGUUGGGACAACUUGCUCAUGGAGUUGCAGUUCUUGCCUAACAGGAACCCACCAUGGCUGUACAAGAAGCAUGGCACCAGCAUCUGCUUCUGGUGAGGCCGCAGGAAGCUUCCACUCAUGGUGGAAGGUGGAGGAGGAGCAGGCGUGUUAUAUGGCAAGAGCGAGAGCAAGAGAGAGAGCAGAAGGUGUCAGGCAACCAGCUCUCAUGUGAACUAAUGAGCAAGGACUCACUCAUCACCAAGGGGAUGGCCCCAGCCAUUCCUGAGAGAUCCGCCCCCUAACCCAAACACCUCCCACCAAGCCCCACCUCCAAGACUGGCGGUCAAAUUUUAACAUGAGACCUUCAUUAUCAAUGUUUGUGUAUCUACACAUCCAAAGUAGAUCAUCAUCUUUGGUCUUUGGGAGAUACACCAGAGAAAAACAACUCCUCUGGCCUGGGAGAUUUUGACUUUCUGCUUUUCAUGUGUGUUUGCUUUUAUCGAAGAGGGAAUCUGCUACUUGCCUGAUGCAACUGCAUUUGGAUACUGAACUGGGGCCCAAAGAGUCUCAAAUCACUGCCUGGGAAUGCCAAUUUCUCAUCAUGAAUUAGAAAUCAAUUCUAGCAGCCUCCCUGCUAAGUAAAAAAAUUACAUAAUUCUUUCU
rnacentral:lncRNA from 1 species